rnacentral:lncRNA from 1 species
GAAUAUGCAAAAACAACUACAACGACACAUGCCGACUAUCUCUAUAUACUUAGAAGACAAACCGACGAUUAACCCACCUCCAAAGCUAAUCCCAAUCCGGCGCGACGUUGAGAACGGCGGAAUCGCACCCUCGCCCGGUCUCCUCGCGACGCUACGACGAUGAACGCGCGCUCGAACGACACUGUGGCGCGACGUCGACGAAAC